UUGUUAUCCGACCAGAACUGGAGAAGAAGGUGAUCAAGUUGAUUAAUGAUUACAGACAAGAACAUGCUGAUAAAAGACCGAUAUCUGGCAGACUCACCUUCAAAAAUUUGCUGGAUUUGUAUACAGCCCUGCAGAUGUUCCAGUUUAAGAUCGAACACAUCGAGGAGGCCAUGAAGAGCAGUAUGCUGUAUGGAGGCGAUCUGCACUCAGCGCUCGACUGGCUCUGUCUGAAUCUCAGAGAUGAUGAGCUACCGGAGGGAUUCAGCCAAAAGAUGCAGGAGGAGA